AUUUAUAGGAAAAAAGUGAAGAAAAUAAAGCACGAGCAGAAGGAGUAGAAGCCAGAUACAAGAAGGCGUGUCUCGGAUAUGCACGUCUCAGAGAAAUGCUUAUUAAGAAAAAAAUUGAUGAUGGUGAAACGAACCCUAUUGUGACUAGACUAGAAUUGUGGGAGUAUGCUAGAAAAGAUGCAGGCGGUGUCAUAACUAUUCUAGCGCAUUGAAAAUUCUUGAGAAGGUUGCCACACAAGAAGAAUUGGCCGAACAUGAGCUUACAGGAACUAAUGAUUUGUUUGCUCAAUUGAUCCCAAAGGAAUAUUCUGGAAGAGUGAGAGCUGCAGGAUGGGGUGUAACAAAGAAAUCAUUGCAGAAAAUAUCAACCAUGAGUGAGCUAUCUCAAUUAAAAAAUGAUGUUGCUUAUUUGAUAAAUGAAAUUAAGGAGUUGAAAAGUAAGGGUUGCAAUCCCAGUAUGCAAUCCAGAGGUUCUAGCCAGAUGGAUAAUUUUGACAUGGAUAAAGAAUUUAUUUAUGAACAUAAUGACGAUCAUGAUCCUGUUAUUGGUGAAGAACUUCCC